rnacentral:pre_miRNA from 1 species
UUAUUACUCCCUCCGUCCGGAAAUACUUGUCAUCAAAAUGAAUAAAAGGGGAUGUAUCUAGAUGUAUUUUAGUUUUAGAUACAUCCUUUUUUGUCCAUUUUAAUGACAAGUAUUUUCGGACGGAGGGAGUACUUA